GUGAAUCAUCGAAUCUUUGAACGCAAAUUGCACUCCCCUCGGAGAGUAUGCCCGUUUGAGGGUCAGCCUAUAAAAAAUCGACAUCGUUGCUGCUUCGUGGUGGCGUUCGUCGGAAAUUGGGUCAUCUUAAUUCUUUCGGUUUUAAGCGAUUUAACAUUUUCUUUUUGGUUACAUGAACGUUUCUAAGAUUUACUUCUUUCGAUGUUUUAGGUAUCGAUUUUUAUUAUAUGUGACUAUCACAUCGGA
rnacentral:misc_RNA from 1 species